AAUUCUCAACCUUUUCAGCUUUUUCUGUUGAUCAGGCUUGGAUGUGGGAGUAUGCGGGCUUCUCAUCUCAGAGGUCGGCUCUCCUGAAAUCCAUUAGCGGGACCUUUGUUGCCUGGCUUUGGUGUGAUAAAUUAUUUAUGCCAUCGUGAAGAGCAGCUUUAUAAAUGGGGUUCAGCUUCUAAAUGGUCUCCUUUGAGACCAACUUCUGACA
rnacentral:misc_RNA from 1 species